AGAGAACUUCUAUAAAAUUGAUCUUUAAUUUUUGUCAUGGUCGCAAAACAGCGAUUUUACGCAAAAAUUUGAUUGGACGAUUGUCCUUUUUAGAUUUUGUAGAAGUCAAUAUAACAAAUACAUAAAUGAAAACCUCAAAAAAAAUAUAACAAAUACGUAAAUAGAAACUUCAAAUAAAUAGAUAAACACUGCAAAUACACAAAUGAAAACUUCAAAAAAAAUAAUUAGAGCGAGUGUUUAUGAAGAAAAUAUUUUGUAUUUCAAUUCUU
rnacentral:sRNA from 1 species